rnacentral:rRNA from 1 species
AUUGAACGCUGGCGGCAUGCCUUACACAUGCAAGUCGAACGGUAGCACGGGAGCAAUCCUGGUGGCGAGUGGCGAACGGGUGAGUAAAGUAUCGGAACGUGCCCAGUCGUGGGGGAUAACGUAGCGAAAGUUACGCUAAUACCGCAUACGAUCUAUGGAUGAAAGCGGGGGACCGCAAGACCUCGCGCGAUUGGAGCGGCCGAUAUCAGAUUAGGUAGUUGGGGGGGUAAAGGCUCACCAAGCCGACGAUCUGUAGCUGGUCUGAGAGGACGACCAGCCACACUGGGACUGAGACACGGCCCAGACUCCUACGGGAGGCAGCAGUGGGGAAUUUUGGACAAUGGGCGAAAGCCUGAUCCAGCCAUGCCGCGUGCAGGAUGAAGGCCUUCGGGUUGUAAACUGCUUUUGUACGGAACGAAAAGGUUUGGCCUAAUAAGCUGAGCUCAUGACGGUACCGUAAGAAUAGGCACCGGCUAACUACGUGCCAGCCGCCGCAGUAA